rnacentral:rRNA from 1 species
AACGCUAGCGGCAGGCUUAAUACAUGCAAGUUGAGGGGCAGCAUGAUAUACGCGAGUAUAUUGAUGGCGACCGGCGGACGGGUGAGUAAUAGGUAGGAGACCUACCUCAUACAGGGGGAUAGCAUAGAGAAAUCUGUGGUAAUACCCCAUGAGGUUAUAUGAAUAGAGGCAUAUAAUCAAAGCAUAAGCGAUUAUGCGGUAUGAGAGGGGCCUACUGACCAUUAGCUAGUUGGUGAGGUAAGGGCUCACCAAGGCGAAGAUGGUUAGGGGUUUUGAGAGAGAGACCCCCCACAUUGGAACUGAGAGACGGUCCAGACUCCUACGGGAGGCAGCAGUAGGGAAUAUUGGGCAAUGGGCGAAAGCCUGACCCAGCCAUGCCGCGUGAAGGAAGACGGCCUUAUGGGUUGUAAACUUCUUUACUAUGCGACUAACUAGAUUUACGAGAUAAUUCUAUAGAAUGUAGCAUAGCAAAAGGCACCGGCUAACUCCGUG